GGUGAUGCCCUUGUUGGCAGAGUCAUUCCGUGAUGACAUUUCCUGUUAUAAAUGAUGACACACUGUUUAUAUAAGGCGGGAUUCGCAUUUCAAACAGAUCAGAAACUGAACUAUCGUACAACAGAACGGAUACAGCGUACAACGUGGAAAGAGACCACAAUCUGGAGUAUUGUUAUUAGAACUUUUGGAAGCAUUCAAAAUUGCAAGUUUACAACAAGACCUAACGAAGGAAAGAGAGGAUUCGAUGUCACAAUGGCUUUUGUUUUAUCGUUCGUGCUGCUUGUUUUAGCUGGUAAGAAUUGCAUUUAGUUAAGCUUAAAUUCUUUAGCUUGUUGGAACACGAACGAGCAAAAGAUGCCAAGCUUUAUUUAAUUGUUAUAGCUUGUAACCUCCGGUCUGUUUAAAAUUUUGAGUUUACCUUGAGCCUUUAAUAAGCGUAAUUGAAAGCUUACAUUGUACUUGGAUUAACGAUGG